GGAGGCUCAGUAUUUCACCGCAGUUUCUAGUCAGCGCGCACUACGCCAUGUUGGUAUUUCCGAAGCAGAUUAUGCAAUGCAAUUCAUCUACCUAAAACCGCCCAUUCCGCUCCUAACACACUUGUUCAUGCUACAUGCAAGGAAACUAAACAACCAACACCAGUAAAUGCACAACCUUUGGAUUCAUCAUGCAUCAUAAUACCGGGCAGUAAUAUAAACUGUAAUCUUAUCGCCAGAGAUGCGACAAAAAUGUCCACAUCCAACGUUAGCCAACCAUAACGUAAUCACCAAAAUGUCUUCCUGAUGUUUACAAAAAACAUUUCAUAUUUUUAAAUGAGGGCUGGCUCCUCUGUUUUAGAUGCGUACACGCGUAAUAACGUUAUUUCAUAAUCUCUCAUUCUCAGCAGCUUCCGCGGAAAACCAUUAUAAGAUCAGUGGUUUGUAUCGUGAAGCCGUACCAGUAAAAAUAAAUAAAUAAAUAAAUAAAUUAAAAAUGAAGAAAAAAAUUUACCCCCAGCCACCGAUCGUCACAUCACAACCAAACUGCGCGAAGCGAAAGAUAAUUAUCUGUGUGAACCAUGUCACUCUAUACACUGCGUGCAAAUUAAUGCGCUUCGCUUCUGUGCUAACGUUAGCUCGGGAAAGCUGCUGAUGUAAGAAACACAACCUGCUGGAAAGCUAGCGUGAGGCUCCCAUAAGCCAACUGCAGUGAAACGCUACCUACCCUCAUCACAUUAUCUAUCAUUUGGUAGCUUUCCUUUCUAGUGGCACGACUUGGCCAUUUCUGUUUUUUGGGGGGGUUAUUUUUUUUUUUUAGCCCACUUUGAGCUCUACGCCAACCUCGUUAGGCGAGUAAACAUUUUAGACACUAACUACGUAGCCUACGCUCACAUCAGUGCUAGUUUUUUCUUUUCUUCCAGUCAAUAACGCCUGGAGGAUUAUUUAUUAUGCGUUAAAAGGCAUGGUUCACACGUGCAAUUAACGUCAGAGUUAAAUCCAGGGUCGUGAAACACCAUGAACGGAGAGAAUCUGGCCAUAAUAACAAGACACCUCGGUCGUUAUGCAUCACAACUUAUUUUAAAACAACGCUUUGAGAUCUAUUGCAGAGCGGAGACAUGGUGUGCAUUGCAAUUAGACUCAGGAAAUAAAUACAAGGCAGCCCGCUGUAAAUCUACGGGGACCGUCGUUGGCCUUCAGUACAGUAUGUGGAACUAACUCGCCCACCACCACCACCACAACAGCACCAGAACAGCAGCAGCAGCAGCAGCCUUACACCUACAGCCAGCGGCCACGUGAAGGAGCUCUCCUCCACCUGAUGGUUAAAUGCAGCCAAAGCCUAAAUACAACAACAACAACAUCCAGCUGUGGGAGAGCCGGGCUGGUGGAAAGCGGUAAAUAAAAUCUAAUAUGUACAACAAUCAAAAAGCUACAGCGCCUACACUGAUUACUUAAACUACUGGAGUGGACAUUAACACAACAAUAUUAUUAAAAUGCAAUUUAAUCUUUUGUUUAGUCCAUCUCAGAGGCGGUUGAUUAGUAAUUUGGGAAAGGGCCGUGCCAUAUGUCUACAUUACAACACUACUGUUAUAUGAAACUACAUAUCAUAUUGUUAUUUCCUGGUUUUAAAAGUUGCAUCACUUUCUGAAAUGACUAAACUGUUUUAUUUGUUUGAACACUUGCAUUUACCUACUUAGUCAUUACUCAUGAUUAUUUAUUUCAAAUUCAUGACCGUACCAAUAGUCAUCCCUGAUGACAUAAAUAUCAUAUUUCAUUUGUCACCUAGUCCUAUUUAUGAGGUGAUUUUAAAGAGAUUUUAAAAUGCCUAAAUAUUCCAAUGUUGUGUAAAAGCUAUAAUUUAAGGCUGUAGCUUGUUGGUUGUGUUGGACUGGAUUAAAACUGAAUUUAAUAAUAUAAUAUUUCAUAAUACUCAAUAAAACUUUACAUACAAGCUUUGUUGAGUUGGAAUAAGACUCGAAAUCAACUUUUUCCAAAGUGGACUUUUGAAUAGUGCAGAGUAUUGUUUUCAUGUGCCACGAAGCACUUUAACAAUUUAAUAUGGUGAAUAAAAAUAACAAUUUAAUGUUAAAUGUUAUAUAACCACAAGCAGUCGUUCAAAAAGAAGAGUCCAUUUUGAUUUGAAUUUGAAACUACUUGAUCAAACAAUAAGAUAACAAGCUUUCAAGUUUUGACAGACAUUGGGUGUAAUGGACACAUUAGUCUGUAUCAAAUAAGUAGUUAGCCUCAGCUUAAAAAGAUCAAAAUUUUUGCAGGGCUGUUGUGUUGGACAGCAUUCUGUUGUACAGGUAGUCCUUUACAUGUGUCCACCUCAUGUAAUCCUGAAAACUAGAAAUUGGACUUGUAUCUAUGAGGCCUUUUAUUAGUAUUCAGCUAUUGUGACUUGUACUGGCAGAUACAUAAAUUGAAUUCCUUGAAAUUCAAUAGCAUGCAGGUCUAUAUUAAGAUCCUAAUAGAUUUAGUCACACAAUGAAAGUCUGUCUUCAGCCCUGCGGUGACCAGAUUUACAUGUGACACUGAUAACGGGGGAAUUGUAACUCGGCUCUUUGAUGUUUCAUUCUGCUCAGUAUUUGUCUGCAGUUAUUAUUAAUAAAGCAUGAUGUUACCGAGUGGUGGUGGAACACAAGUUAUAGUUCACUAAGUAAUUUAUAGAUCUUUCACAUUUUAACAGUGUAUUACAUGGUACAUAAAGAGAAUUGUUGGAUGUAACUGCCCUGUGUUUUAUAAAUUAAAACUAUCCGUUUUGAUAUGUUAUUGUUACAACACUGAUUUGUGCAACUCUUCACAAAGAUCAGUUCAGUAUUUACAGUAGAGAUGGAAGAAAAUAUCAAUACGGCAUGCAUAAAACAUGCAUUUGCCCUAAACAGAUUCCCCUGACAAAUGUACUUACUAGAGCCACCAUUUAAUGACUCCUUAUGGUGUAAAGCUUCUGUAAACGUAAUUUGCAAAGGUUGAAAGGGAUGUAUAGUGAGGCACAGUGGUUUACUUUAAAGAAACAAACAUUUUAACUGCAGAACUGUUCAGUCU